UACGGAGAGUGCAAGCGUUAAUCGGAAUUACUGGGCGUAAAGCGCACGCAGGCGGCUUUUUAAGUCGGAUGUGAAAGCCCCGGGCUCAACCUGGGAAUUGCAUUCGAUACUGGGAAGCUAGAGUAUGUGAGAGGGGGGUAGAAUUCCAAGUGUAGCGGUGAAAUGCGUAGAGAUUUGGAGGAAUACCAGUGGCGAAGGCGGCCCCCUGGCACACUACUGACGCUCAGGUGCGAAAGCGU
rnacentral:rRNA from 1 species